rnacentral:rRNA from 1 species
UACGAAGGGGCUAGCGUUGCUCGGAAUCACUGGGCGUAAAGCGCACGUAGGCGGAUUGCUAAGUCAGGGGUGAAAUCCUGGAGCUCAACUCCAGAACUGCCUUUGAUACUGGCGAUCUCGAGUCCGGGAGAGGUGAGUGGAACUGCGAGUGUAGAGGUGAAAUUCGUAGAUAUUCGCAAGAACACCAGUGGCGAAGGCGGCUCACUGGCCCGGUACUGACGCUGAGGUGCGAAAGCGUGGGAGCAACAGG